rnacentral:SRP_RNA from 12 species
CUCGCUGUUACUGAGCUGCGGUCAGGACUGAGAGUAGCCCUCGUGCCACAUCUCUGCACCUCACGUAGCCUUGCGGCCACCGCUCGCCACACCCACAGCUGGAGCCCCAAGGCUCGCUCGGUCGCAGCGCGCGCCGCGGCGAACCAAAUUAUCCUAGCUCGACGCCAUCGCAGCGCGAGGCCGGUAACAGACAGCAGCCAUGGCCGCCC